rnacentral:tRNA from 1 species
AAGACAUUAGUAAAAUGCAUAUUACACCACCUUGUCAAGGUAAAAUUGUGGGUUGAAUCCCCGCAUGUCUUU